rnacentral:rRNA from 1 species
GGCCUAACACAUGCAAGUCGAGCGCCGUAGCAAUACGGAGCGGCAGACGGGAGAGUAACACGUGGGAACGCACCCUUUGGUUCGGAACAACCCAGGGAAACUUGGGCUAAUACCGGAUAAGUCCGUAAGGAGAAAGAUUUAUCGCCGAAGGAUCGGCCCGCGUCUGAUUAGCUUGUUGGUGAGGUAACGGCUCACCAAGGCGACGAUCAGUAGCUGGUCUGAGAGGAUGAUCAGCCUCACUGGGACUGAGACACGGCCCAGACUCCUACGGGAGGCAGCAGUGGGGAAUAUUGGACAAUGGGCGCAAGCCUGAUCCAGCCAUGCCGCGUGGGUGAUGAAGGCCCUAGGGUUGUAAAGCCC